AGUUUAUCAAACAUGAAGGUCAGAGAUUUUGUGUGACAGCGACAGAAAACUAGCCUUGUAUUGUUGGAAGUGACAUACUGAAUUUUCCUCGACAAACUAAUGGGUCAGACUGUUGAGUGUUUAUUUGCUUGGUAUGACAUCAUGGUAGCUAUUGGUGCUUUUCAUCAUCGUUCUGUUACUGCAUCAUGCUCCAUAUGAAAUGCUAAAAUUACCGUACAACUACACCCAAUCACAGAUGGCAUCAGCCAGGGCAUGGAUUGCCUUGACAUUUUGCAAGAACAAGAAAAUGUAAGAUAAGAGCCUGAUCGAGAAUAUUCAAGUACAUUGUAAUACAGCUAACAUCGGAUCAAUUUUAGGCCACAGAAACAUCUAGUCACUACAACUGAUGACAGUGAUUAUACCUGUGCUAAUGACAGUAAAUGUAACGAUGAUGUGCAGGAAGAUGAUGCAUAAUGCACUAAAGA